rnacentral:rRNA from 1 species
ACUAAAGAAACUGGGAUUAGAUACCCCACUAUGUCCGAUCGUAAACUUUUACUUACACACUCUAUCGCCCGGGAACUACGAGCAAAGCUUAAAACCCAAAGGACUUGACGGUACCCCACAUCCCCCUAGAGGAGCCUGUCCUAUAAUCGAUAAUCCACGUUUAACCUCACCAUUUUUAGUUUUUCAGCCUGUAUACCUCCGUCGUCAGCUUACCUCGUGAGCGAACCAUAGUGAGCUUAAUGAUAACCCACCAACACGUCAGGUCAAGGUGCAGCAAAUAAAAUGGAAAGAGAUGGGCUACACUUUCUAAAAUAGAAUACACGAAAGAUUAUUUAUGAAACCUAAUCAGAAGGCGGAUUUAAUAGUAAAAAGAAACCAGAAUGUUCUUUUUAACCCGGCACUGGGGUGUGUACACACCGCCCGUCACCCUCCUCAAAGCUAAAAAACAGUAUCUAACUACUUUAAGCAUUAUAGAAGAGGCAAGUCGUAACAUGGUAAGUAUACCGGAAGGUGUGCUUGGAUCAUGGAAUAUAGCUUAA